UACGUAGGGGGCGAGCGUUGUCCGGAGUUACUGGGCGUAAAGGGCAUGCAGGCGGUCCGACACGUUUUGUGUGACAGCGGGUGGCUUAACUACCCGAGGAUACGAAAGACGGUUGGACUUGAGGACUCGAGAGGGACACGGAAUUCCGGGUGGAGUGGUGAAAUGCGUAGAGAUCCGGAGGAACACCAGUGGCGAAGGCGACACGCUGGGCCGUACCUGACACUGAUGCGCGACAGCAUGGGGAGCAAACAGG
rnacentral:rRNA from 1 species